AUUUUUUGUUUCAUGGGAACUAGAGGAUCAAGGAUUUCAAUUUGUCAGGGCUCGUAGAAUGUCAAAAGAUGAUUUCUAGAUUAAACUUAACAUCGAUCAGACUGGUUUCUAUAGUGAGUUAUGAUGAGGAACUUGCAUCCCGAGUUAGGUAUGCAGUUGAGACCAACACACUGAGUGCAGCAGACGAAUAAAACUUUUGCAUGGUUUCUUACAACUGUAAGUCUUUCCAUGUUCAACUAUUCUCACAUUAUUACUGUCUGAUCACUACAGGUGUACUUGAUGACACAUAUGCCCUUUAUAUGGCUGGUAAACAGAAGUCUCUUCUAGCUUUUCAGAAAUCCGUCCCUUGCAAGUGAGGUGGCUGGGAUGCCAAGAGUGGGGAGGGUCACCUGAAUACACUGUUAAGAGGUGUAAAGGAAGUGAAGUGUGAACCCAGUGUUUCUUUUGACUACUCCAAGUCUGAAAUGAAUUCCAUGAGGAGGAAAAGGCUGAAUUGAGUGCAUGAAAUAAAGGAGGAGCAUCCUAAGAAGCAGUCAGGUUGGAGAAAAAGAUCAGAGUUUCAUCUGUUGUGAAAAUGGAAGGUAAUUAGACGUCAGAAGAUUACAAGGAAAGAUAAAGCGGAUAAAUUUACACGGAAUCAUACCACAUGAGCUCACAUCACGA